rnacentral:miRNA from 1 species
GGAGAAUUGCUUGAACCCGGGAGGUGGAGGUUGCAGUGAGCUGAGAUCACGCCACUGCACUCCAGCCUGGGCGACAGAGUGAGACUCUGUCUC